GGUUGGUCUGAAGGUUGUGAGUUAUCUUAUUUGAUGGUUCACAAUCAGUUACAGAUUGAACUCCUGGAUCUACUACUUUCCUCCCUUCUCACUACUGCACUUGACUAGUCUUUA
rnacentral:Y_RNA from 1 species